rnacentral:rRNA from 1 species
AAAUUGAAGAGUUUGAUCAUGGCUCAGAUUGAACGCUGGCGGCAGGCCUAACACAUGCAAGUCGAACGGUAGCACAGAGAGCUUGCUCUCGGGUGACGAGUGGCGGACGGGUGAGUAAUGUCUGGGAAACUGCCUGAUGGAGGGGGAUGACUACUGGAAACGGUGGCUAAUACCGCAUAACGUCGCAAGACCAAAGAGGGGGACCUUCGGGCCUCUUGCCAUCAGAUGUGCCCAGAUGGGAUUAGCU